UACAGAGGUCCCAAGCGUUGUUCGGAUUCACUGGGCGUAAAGGGUGCGCAGGUGGUCGGGUAAGUCUGACGUGAAAUCCCGCAGCUUAACUGCGGAAUGGCAUUGGAUACUAUUCGGCUAGAGGGUUGGAGGGGGGACUGGAAUUCUCGGUGUAGCAGUGAAAUGCGUAGAUAUCGAGAGGAACACCAGUGGCGAAGGCGGCGAUCUGGGAAGAUACUGACGCUGAGGUGCGAAAGCGUGGGGAGCAAACAGG
rnacentral:rRNA from 1 species